rnacentral:rRNA from 1 species
UACGUAGGAGGCGAGCGUUGUCCGGAUUUACUGGGCGUAAAGCGCGUGUAGGCGGUUCGAUUAGUCUGCUGUGAAAGCUCCCCGCUUAACGAGGAGAGGUCGGUGGAUACUGUCGGACUUGAGGACGGUAGAGGGGGGUGGAAUUCCCGGUGUAGUGGUGAAAUGCGUAGAUAUCAGGAGGAAUACCGAUGGCGAAGGCAGGUCUCUGGGCUGACACUGACGCUCAUGCACGAAAGCGUGGGGAGCAAACAGG